UCUCAGGGGCCAGAAAAGAGAUCUGAAGCCAAGGAGGUGCCAGAGUAAGCCAAGAGCUGCCAUCUUGGUUUUCAGGUGGACUGCAGGGGAUGGAUGCAGGUCAGCUGGGAUCUCCCAGGGAAAGAGCUUGAGUCAGAGCAGCCAGGAGGCCAUGGGCAUUCAGCAUGUUCUUCAGACUCCUUGCUCAAAGAGGAUGCUCUACCUGCACCCUCACCUUGCCAGGCUUGCCAGAAAACAAGUUAUUUUCAGCAUCCGUGGGCAGCAAAAGAAGAAAGUCAUGAGCCGGAAGGAAUGACUGCAGAAAUGAGCCCAUUCAGAGGAAGGCUGGUCCUAUGUCUCCUUGGCACAAUGUUGGGUGCCAAAGAACUUGGGAGAAGUUGUCACAAGAUAUUCUGGGGUUUUGUGGGUUCUUUCAGUAACAAUGGGAGAUUGCAUUCACUCUGAAGGUUGAAGAAAGCAACUCAGAAGUUAAUUAGGGUCCCCCCAAAGAGCUUUUGUCAUUAAGAUGGACCCAAACCAACCCAAAUAGAUAUAUUCAAGACUAGCUUAAGAGGUGAUGGGAAGCUGGCAUCCCAUGGCUCACACCUUUAAUCGCAGCCACUUGGG